rnacentral:rRNA from 1 species
CGAGCGGGAUGAAGGCCUUCGGGUUGUAAACCGCUUUCAGUAGGGAAGAAGCGAAAGUGACGGUACCUACAAAAGAAGCACCGGCUAACUAUGUGCCAGCAGCCGCGGUAAUACAUAGGGUGCAAGCGUUGUCCGGAAUUAUUGGGCGUAAAGAGCUCGUAGGUCGUUUGUUACGUCGGAUGUGAAAACCUGAGGCUCAACCUCAGGCCUGCAUUCGAUACGGGCAAACUAGAGUUUGGUAGGGGAGACUGGAAUUCCUGGUGUAGCGGUGGAAUGCGCAGAUAUCAGGAGGAACACCAAUGGCGAAGGCAGGUCUCUGGGCCAAUACUGACACUGAGGAGCGAAAGUCUGGGGAGCGAACAGGAUUAGAUACCCUGGUAGUCCAGACCGUAAACGGUGGGCACUAGUUGUGGGAACCUUCCACGGUUUCUGCGACGCAGCUAACGCAUUAAGUGCCCCGCCUGGGGAGUACGAUCGCAAGAUUAAAACUCAAAGGAAUUGACGGGGCCCCGCACAAGCAGCGGAGCAUGCGGCUUAAUUCGACGCAACGCGAAGAACCUUACCAAGGCUUGACAUAUAGGGAAAAGUGGCAGAGAUGUCAUGUCCGCAAGGGCUCUAUACAGGUGGUGCAUGGUUGUCGUCAGCUCGUGUCGUGAGAUGUUGGGUUAAGUCCCGCAACGAGCGCAACCCUCGUUCUGUGUUGCCAGCAUUUAGUUGGGGACUCACAGGAGACUGCCGGGGUUAACUCGGAGGAAGGUGGGGAUGACGUCAAAUCAUCAUGCCCCUUAUGUCU